AUCCCAGGUGCCAGGCCUGGCUCAGACAUGUGUGGUCAACUGGCUGUGCAGGUGUAUCCCUCUGGAGGCACUCACUGUUCCAAGUCAACAAGCCUUGUGGAAUGGUCAGAUGAAUCAGUCCAAAGGGGAAAUAUAUUUUACAAGUGACCAUUAUAGAAGUAUAUCAGGAUUGUAAAGCUGAAUUAUUGCUGCUUUUGAGUUACUGUGUUAACGGUGAACAUUUCAGUCAACUGUGUGGAAGAUGUUUCAGACUGGCCACUGUGAAAGUGAACAACUGUAGCUAAAAUUUCCUUUUCCAGAUGACCAGGAAUUUAAAAAAGAAUGGUACUUUCAGCUCUGGAAAGUCAGGCCAGCUUUUGAGUGAAGUUGCUGCUGUGUAAUGGCUGAUGCACAUUUUGGAACCUGAAAAGCAACAGUAUCUCAAUAUUGCAUAAGAAGCUGGACUGAGAUUUUUGGGUAUAGCUAAAACUUGUAGAUGGGGCCUUGGUUUUUCCUCAAAAAAAGCAAUAAUGUGGACCUGCAUUACUGGACAAGAGGACCUUGUGGACUUCUGCAAUGAUUUGGAAAAAUACCCUGAAACGACCUUUACUGAAACUCUGCUUUGUACUAGUUGAAAUUACAUUUGUGAGGGUUUGAAAACACAAAGUGGUACUCAUCAGACAGGCAUUGUUGACUGGCAAACCAGUGGAAAGUGAAGAAAGAGGAGGAGGAGUGUGUGGGUAGACUUCCUGAAAUCACCUCUGCCCAGUGCAUCUCAAAUCAUUGCAGUCUCACAUGGAUCUUUGGAGAAGAAGUAGGUGCAAACCUAAACAAAGCGAUGGGAAACAGGAUACUUGUAACAAAGUGACUCAUUUGUUUUUGGCCAGUGGACUGAGAUGGAAAGAAAAGAUUUCUGAAGCCUUAUGACACACACAACCACUAUCCUCCUUCUCUGAAGGCAUUUCCAGGAGCAGUAACACAUGAGAAAACCCCUAAAACUGUUUAACAGCAUCUUUCACAUGAUCAGCUCAAAUGCUCUCAGGGCUGAAUGUUGUUCUGACAAGCAAACUAUUCCAAUGCACAGGAUUUCAGAGUUGUGCUGGAAGAUAAAUUGAUGUGCAGAGGCAGUUUCUGGACACUCACCCACUUUGCAAGGUGACAAAGUCCCAGAUGAUGUAAUGGUUCAGCCAUGCUCAUAGGAACACAGGUGCCCCAACAGUCUGCAAGAGAGAAAAUAGGCAAAGACUUUAUCCAGGGACAGCUCAGAAACUGCAACUACAGAAUCUCAUAAAACCAGAGAAGAAGAAUGAACACAUACUAUAGCUUACAGCAUAUUCAGCAUAUUAAUCACUGCCUGAUAGAAUCUUUCACAGAAAAAUUUGUUAUGAUCCAUGUGCUGGUAUUUGUUGCAAGGAAUCCUCAUGGCAGAUAUAUUUUAAAAAAUCAAUGAAAAAUACCGCUGAUUCCUUCUUACACAAACUGAUUCAUUCCACAUAAGUGUCAGUAGUCCUGAAGCCAUGUGUUUAUACCCACACUGGAGUAUGCCUGAAAUCUCACUGACAUUUCCCCCCUGAAAUAUCAGUAUAAUGCUUCCUUCAUAUCCUCAAUAACUGGUUUAAAAAAGAAAAACACUAAAGGACCAGUAAGUUGCUUAGGAAAUACUACUAACAAUUAAUUAUGAUUCUGCAGUUUAAGUCUGGUUCAAUUAUUUUGUCAUUUCUUAGUCUGAUAGUUGUCAACUUUGUGCAUCUUGUUGACUUCUUUGAAUCUACCACCAAGGAAACUCUAAUUAUUGUGUGCCCUCUUCACAGGAUGGGUGCCUUUAGCUAUUGUUAGAGAUCAUUCUUUUUCUACAGUGAGAGAUUACUUAUUUAUUAAAUGAAAUAACUUCAAUUCCUACAAUGCUUACAAAUCCCUGAUAAGUAGUACCUUUCACGUUUGCCCCUAAUAAAGUAGACAAUAAUGUCAGAAACUUUUUGUUGUUAUGUUUUAAACCAUCACCCCUUUUGAAGUGAUAUAAUAAAAACUUGAAAAGAAAAAAAAAAGGAUUAACACCCCAUAUCACAUAAAGACUUCAGUAUAUAUGCAUUUGACCAUCUCUCCACUACUAAAACUGAAGGAAUUCUCAAAUUAUCUAAUGCUGCAAAUGUGUAAAUAUCUUCAGAAAAGAGCACAAAAUGUUAAUUAUUCUUUGCCUGCAUUUAAAAAUAAUUUGUGUAUCCUCUUUGACAACAGCUGGAAUGACAAGUAAUGUAAGAGGAUUUGGCUCAGAAUAAUCUAGGAAUAUACUUCCAUUGCCCCAUACAUUGCUACAGGCCUUUAUUUCCUACACCUAUAUUUUCCAGAUUUUUUUUCUUUUUUCUGUAUUAUUUGCAAAACUGAAAUUUUAUACUGAAAGACUUUUAAAUCCUGAUUUUGGGGGCAGGAAAGUAGGUUGGCUUUUUUUUAUUUUUAUGACAAUUUAGUUGGAACAUUUCUGGUGACUGCCAAAGGCCCACUUACCUCCCACAGGCUCUUGUCCAGCAGCCUAUGAGCUGAUAGUUGGAUCUGUUUUCAAACAAAGUCUGAUUUAGAUUUAUCUAACUUCACCAGUCUAAGAAGAUUUUCUGUUUUAUCAGGACUUGAACAAGCCCAGUUUCAUAAGUGAAUAAAGUUAUUUUUAGAUACUUUGUUUUGAAGAGGAUUUCUGGAAUUUUCAGCCUAAGCUUUUCAACACAUUUCUCAGUCAGAUGGUGUUUUCAUUUCCAGUUUUUACAUACCUGUGCAGUUCACUUACAAGUAUUUAUUUCUCUGUCUACUGUCUGGAAAAUUAAAACUAAUUAUAAUCAGAGAAAGAAGAAUUAAAGCAUGGAUCAUGCACACUAAAGAACAGAAUUCACUUUAAAAAUUAUUUUUAUGACAAUGUUGGAGAAGAUAGCAGGUACUCACUUUGCACUAAUAGUAACAGAACAGCUCUGUUCCUUGCAGUGGAAUAUUAAACAGCAAAAGCAUUGAUAAUAAUAAUACUAAUAAUCUUUUCUACAAAGACUAUAUCUACAAAGCUCUUUCUACAUGUUGCUGAUAUGAUCACUUGGUCACACACCCAAAUUCAUUCUCAUCCAGCUCCUUUUUAAUUUAAUUUAUGCGAAAUCUAAAAAGCUCUUGUUAAGAUUACAGACAAAUCCUACUUUUUGAAACAUCACCACGAGAAGAUCAGUGAUUUUGGCUAAAACUAGAAUUAGGAAAACAAAAAUGCCAAGACCAUAAGGCAGUAGUCUAAAUUAAGGCACAGUAACAAUUUAAAGGAAGCAGAAGGAAAGUAUUAUCAGAAGAGACAGAAAUCUUAUAAGCUUCUUGCACUACAAAUGCUGACAAGUGAAGUACAAACCCAUUAUUUUUAAAUUCCUUUUGUACAGUGUCUUAUAUUUGAGGUGCCUGCUAUGGCAUAAAUAUUCUUCUGCCAGAAAAUGAGAAUAAUUUUCAUAAACUGUACUUUUGAAAUAACUGAACAUGUAAAGUACAUUAGAGCAUAAUAUUUGUUCAUCUGAGUUCAUGUUCUAGCAGUUGCAAGUGCAAAAACAUCAUGCAACAGUGUGAUUUAUACCAAGCACAUUAAUACUCUUGGAAUGCUUGUUAAUAGCAAUAAAAUUCUGGUGAUUUUUGUACCUACAAAUGUUCGUGUGUCUUGUACCCAGCAGCCUUUAAGGUGAUAUAUUGAAGAUUUUAUUUACUUUCUCCAAAACCCCAUGUGGGAUGGUGAUUAGUAACAUUGUCUCUACCUCCUAGGUUUAU